GAAAUCGGGUAGACGCUACGGACUUAAAAUCCGUCGAUUUUUUAAAUCAUGAGGGUUCAAAUCCCUCUAUCCCCA
rnacentral:tRNA from 1 species